rnacentral:rRNA from 1 species
AGCAGCCGCGGUAAUUCCAGCUCCAAUAGCGUAUAUUAAAGUUGUUGCAGUUAAAAAGCUCGUAGUUGAAUUUCGGGGUUAGUAGGUUGGCCAUGCCUCUGGUAUGUACUGGUCUCACUGAUUCCUCCUUCCUGAUGAGCCGUAAUGCCAUUAAUUUGGUGUUGCGGGGAAUUUGGACUGUUACUUUGAAAAAAUUUAGAGUGUUUAAAGCAAGCUAACGCUUGAAUACAUUAGCAUGGAAUAAUGAAAUAGGACGUUCGAUCCUAUUUUGUUGGUUUCUAGGAUUGAUGUAAUGAUUAAUAGGGAUAGUUGGGGGCAUUAGUAUUCAAUUGUCAGAGGUGAAAUUCUUGGAUUUAUUGAAGACUAACUACUGCGAAAGCAUUUGCCAAGGAUGUUUUCAUUAAUCAAGAACGAAAGUUAGGGGAUCGAAGACGAUCAGAUACCGUCGUAGUCUUAACCAUAAACUAUGCCGACUAGGGAUCGGAUGAUGUUAAUUUUUUGAAUGACUCAGUUCAGCGCC